GGCUUGUGGCUCAGUGGUAGAGCACCUACCUAGCAUGUAUGAGGCCCUGGGUUUAAUUCUCUACACCA
rnacentral:tRNA from 1 species